GAGACAGUUCGGUCCCUAUCCGUCGCAGGCGUAGGAAAUUUGAGAAGACCUGUCCUUAGUACGAGAGGACCGGGAUGGACGUACCUCUGGUGUACCAGUUGUCCUGCCAAGGGCAUGGCUGGGUAGCUAUGUACGGAAUGGAUAAGCGCUGAAAGCAUCUAAGCGCGAAGCCAACUUCAAGAUAAGAUUUCCCACCGCAAGGGUAAGAC
rnacentral:rRNA from 1 species